UGUGAAUCAGCCAGCAGACCUCUCCACCCCAUUGUUGGUGGUGAAGUUAAAUAGAGGCCCAGGGAAAACAUUGGGAUUGGUUUUUUUUUUAUGGACUCCAGAGCAAGGAGAAGAGCUGUGCAGUUCAGAUCCUAACACUGUGCAGAUGCUCCAGGACCAGCACUGAGCCCCAGCACUCCUGGUAUUGGCACUCAGCUCUUCUUUCCACACCUCUGAGAGCAACAAGUGUCUCUGCAAUGGCGAUCACAUGUCCUACAUGGUCAGUGUUCAUAAGAAAUACUUCCAUUUGGACCUGAAGGAUUUGAUCACUCUUGGAACAAAGGAAAAAUACUUUGGUUUAAAAAGAAACCCUGAACCUUAGACAAGGUGAGUGGGCAAAAUUUCCAUUUCAAAUCUUUUUCAGAAUUGGGAAGUAACAGUAAAAUCUACUGACACCUACUAUGUGACAGACAUUGCUGCUUUAACAGUUGUCUUGCAGAUAUAUAGUCACACUUCACUGAUUGCUUCUACGUGGAAAAGUGAAUCUUGCAAAUGAGAAGUGUGAAAUACCAGGGAUAACGUCCUCUCAUACUGAAAAAUAGCUGUUCUACAUCAUCUGAAAUUUGGGCGUAAAUAGAUGGAGAAUAAGAAACUAAACAUAGUUAUCUGACACUUCUCUUUUUAAUACUGUUUCUGCUUUGUAGUUUAAAAUAAACACUUCAGUGUCAAGUAUUGCUGGGAUCAUUGCUCCCAGACAAAAAGUGAUACUUGUAGAAGUGCAGUCAGUUUAAGGAGAAGCAACAGUUGUGGUCUAGCAUUAGGAAUCUCAACUGAGAUGAAGCAGUAGGCAUGGGGAGGUUGUGAACUGAUAACAUGAAAGGGCUGGAGAGGUGACCAUGCAGGGUAAACAGCCCAGUUUAGAACAAUGGUCUCCUGCUAGAUUUAAUCCUGCUGUUACAAUGAAUUCUACAGCAAAACAAAGGUUUUUCCUUAAAUGGUGAACCCCACAUGCAAGAUGUGAUGUAUCUCACCUGUAUUACAGACACGGAACAUGGCGCGGUUAAUGAUUCACUUCCUAUUUCAGCACUUGCUCUUACCUCUGUGUUACAAUGGUUUUAAUUCAGAGAAUUAACUGCAUGGUAACAACUGCAAGCUCUUUCAAGAGUAUCUGAGCCACAAACCUAGCCUAGCUUAAAGUCAGUUUUGUAUUACAGAACUGUAGUUACAGUACCUUUAUUGAGAAAAUAAAGUUGAUUCAUAGAUAAAACAUAAACAGAGAUGGAAUACUGGUAUAGAAGUACAGUGUUUGCAAGUCUUAACACCAAUUUUAAUUGUGCUAAUCCCAGUUCAGAGUUCUGAUUAAAGGUUUCAUUUCUGAGAUCGUUCUGAAGGAUUUUUGCUUCACUGCAAAUCACUGCUUUGAAAUACAAAUUCUUUGCUAUGUUACAGCCUGAAAAAAGUCUAUAAAAAAAAAAAAAGUGAGAUAAAGUUGAAAAUUGGAGAUUUUUUUGUGAAACAAGCUUUGAUUUAUAAACAAAAAACAACUGACCAACCAAACAGCAGCACAUCUUAGUAGGCUCAUUAGGUUUACAGCCAAGAGUGGCUGUCAAUAUGUUUACCAUUAGGUCAGCUGUGCAAAACUGGCUGGUUGCCCAAUUUAGGUACGGAAGAAACCAGGAUUGAAAGAAGAAUUUUUACAGAUGUUUCAAUAAAGCAGAGGAAGAAACAAAAUCACACAGCUGCAAGACGUACAGGAUGAAUAUGAAGAGAGUUUUCUCUUGAUAACCUAUUCCAGCAUGCCACAUCUGUCCAUUCUCUUAAAGAAUUGUGUUAUACUUAAGAUUAGAACUCUAUAAUUAGAGCUAAGAUGAAACAACAGUGAAGGCUAUGUGACUAAGUUUCAGCAAGUACUGAUUUGUGCUUAGUUCUGCUAAAUUUAGUACCUACUGCUUUGAUAGUUUGUGUGGAGUUCUAAAAUUAGAUUUUUAUCUAGUUUUGUGUCAAAGGUAUUUUAGAGUGACUACAAAGAUUUAGAACACUUGGGUUUUGAUUGUCUCCUCAGUCGUUAAAUCUCUCUGUAAUGCUGAACAUAAACCCAACUCGAUGCACAGUAAGCUAGAUUAGAAACAAACUGCACCUUUUCAGAACA